UUUUAUUUUAAUUUAUUUAUUCUUUCCCUCUCCCUCUCUCAAUUGACACGUGUCAGACCCAUUCUUCUUCACACUUCGUGCGAGCCCUAGCGUCUCCCUCGCCUCACCAUCCGUCGACCCCCCAGGCGCUGUUGUUCGUCGUUGUCAGACCCACGUCAUGUGUCUCCUAGUCGAAACCACUGCCUACCCAGCGCUGCUCCUCCGUGCUCCGCAUGCUUUCCAGCAACUACAACAGCUGUUCCCUUCGCCUAGUCGUCCGCAACCGAGCCGUCGCGCCAGAUCCGGUCGUCCAGAGUUUGCCCAGCCGCCUGCCUCCCUUGCGCCACACUAGACGUUGCCCCAGCCGCUUGCGUCACCUCCUUCAGUCUGUUCGUCACAGCCAUCGGUUUAGGCCGAGCCUCGACGUCAGCUUCGAAGCUCGCUGCCGUUCACCGUCCCCAAGGGUUGUCGAAAUCUCUGUGAUUUUGAUUGAAGGAAUUUUAGAGCUUUGGAAGGUGCGAGAUGCUGUCCAGUAAGUGUUGUGGUCAUAUGGCAAUUUAUUGUUGACACGUGUGAAACCCCCCAUUUUUCUUCCCACUUCGCGCGAGCCCUAGCGUCUCCUUCGCCUCGCCGUUCGUCGACCCCCCUAGUCGCUGUUGUUCUUCAUCGUCAGAUCCACGCCACGUGUCUCCCAGCCGAAACCACUGCCGCUCCUCCACGCGCCGCAGGCCGUCCACGAGCCAUCCAGUGCCGCUACAGGAGUUGUUCCCUUCGCCUAGUCGUCCACAACUAAGCUGUCGCGCCAGAUCCGGUCGUCUAGAGUUUGCUCAACCAUAUCCUAGCUGCCCACCUCCCUUGCGCCAUAUAGACGCCGUCCCAGUUGCAUGCCUAACCUUCUUCAGUCUCUGUUCGUCGCAGCCAUCAGUUUAGGUUGAGCCUCGAUGUCAGCUUUGAAGCUCGUUCACAGUCCCCAACACAGAGGGUUGUCGAAAUCUCUCUGAUUUUGGUGAGUUUUCUUGAGUAUUUCAAGAUUUGGAGUUGUCAAAUUCAGAUUCUAUCUAGUGAGGGUUGUAAUCUUUUUUUUUUUUUUUUGGAUGUUAGAUUAAAGGAAUUUUGGAGCUUUGGAAGGUGCGAGGUGCUGUCCAGUAAGUGUUGUGGUCAUAUGGCAAUUUAUUGGUAAGUUUUGGUGAUUUUAACCCUUUGAGCUCUUUUGGAUUAAGGGAGAUUGUUGAAAAUUUAGUUAUUAAACUUUGGUUUUGAUUUAUGAUCAUAUUGGACAAAUAAAUUGGACUUUGGGACUAACUUCAAACCAAACCAUGAGUUUGGUAAGUUAAAUUGGGGACUUUUUUCUUUAAUUGGUUAAUUGGAUUUAGACCCCAAUGGACAAGUUUAAAAGUUUGGGGAUGCAUGAUUUUAGGCCAUUGUUGCUAAAUUAAAUUUGGCAAUGUUUGUUUUAGGAUUGAUUCAAGUUUUUUGAAGAUUUUAAAGGAGAAUAAUUUUGCGGACUAAUAUUUUUUUUACCAAGUUUGAGGUAAGUAAUCUUACUAUUGGAACUGCCCAAGUGCCAGACAUUGAUAAUUAUGAUUUAUUGAGGAUUAUUAGUUAGCAUGAUAUUUAUGUAUGCCUUCUUCGACUGAGGUUUGAAAGGACUAGAGCUAGCUAUUGAUAAUUAUGAUUUACUGAGGAUAUAUUAAUGGUUUGAUGUUUAUGUAUGCCUUGUUGGCAUGAGGGUUUAAAAGACUAGAUGUGCAUAGAGAUGUUUGAAUGCUAGUAUGAUUUGAGUAUAUUAUUAUUCUUGGAGAUCCUGCUGAAUCUGAGGAUGAUGAGAUGUCUAUGUAUGUUACAGAGCUAUGAUGAAGAAAUCUAUAUGUGUGUUAUAGAAGCAUGAUGAUGAGAUGUAUAUGUAUGUUAUAGAACCAUGAUGAUGAGAUGUAUAUGUAUAUAAUGGGACUAGGAUGACGAGAUGUAUAUGUGUGUUGUAGAACCAUGAUGAUGAGAUGUAUAUGUAUGUUAUAGAACCAUAUUAUGAUUCUUGUGAUGUUGGGAUCGUGAUAGUGUCCUCACUGAUUUGUUAGAUGCCAUUAGAGGUUGUGUGCCCUUCGGGAUUCACUAGAGGUGGUGGUUUCCUUCGGGAUCCACUAAAGGUUGUGUUUCUUUUGAGAUUCACUAGAGGUGGUGCUUUCCUUCGGGAUUCACCGGAGGUUGUGUGUCCUUCGAGAUUCACUAGAGGUGGUGCUUUCCUUUGGGAUUCACCAUAAGUUAUAUGUCCUUUGGGAUUCACUA